rnacentral:lncRNA from 1 species
AGAGGGUUACGGAUCUUGUCAAUGCCGAGAAUUACGACGAGCCUGCCUCGAGCUCCACGACUUUGGUAAUGUAAAGGGAACUUCCAUGGACCAUGGGCACCCAAAAGUGCCGGAACGUUCAACCCAGAAAAUAACUGUCUCUCUGCUUGACCUGGAGAGUAACUGGGAACAUAUUGCAGAUGUUUUUCUUACGUUUGGAAACUCAACGAUUCAGGUAGUGUGAAAAACGCGUCCCAAAGGUGGAUUGAGUACUUCACUCGAAAGAUCUGCAUUGCCUGACACAUAUGUGCCACAUCACUCUGCUGGCUGGACCGUUGGAUACGUUACGGCCGGUGACAGCCUAAUUCCAAUUGUGCCUGUCCAUUCAUCUUUUGGAGAUUAUUAUCUCCACAGUCACUAACUGGGGGGGCCCCCAAUGAAAAUCAAACGGUAAAAACGAUAAGGACCGAGAGGCACGCGAGUGGUGACAACCGCGGGCCGCCUGAUAGCGACAGCUUCGCCGAUUGAAGGCGAUGCCUUCGUCUAUCAUGGAUGGUCGCUCUCGCAAGAGCUAUCCAUGGUAGUAGUGGUAUGGCGGCGUACAGAUACGCUUCGAUCGAGCGAUGAGAAGAAUCCAUGGGAUUCUCUCACGCUCCCGCGAUGCCUUUCCAGUUUCCAUGGGAAGACGACGUAGCGAUUGAGAAUCCCGUUGCCUGCACGGCUGCACUGCAUAUGGGUACAAGGCGGACGCAGGCGUCGCCGUCGAUGCACGAUCCAACAUCUGAACAUCAUCACCAAGCGCUGGGGCCCACGAGACGAGGCAAGAUCCGUUUCACACAAGGUAGUUUUCAUGUGACACCGACUCCUUGUUGGAUCGGGAGUAGUGCGUGAUACUCUGGCUCUCCGAGAUUUGUCCGCUGGAGUCUGCUGCACGGGAAGGAACACUGUCCAUGUCAGUACUCAUGUGGUUGUGACACGAACACCAUCACGCCUGGCGGUUACCUGAGCCGGCUUAUUAAAUUAUCAUGCUCACAAGAUGAACCCGCCUGUACGUAGCCAAAGACACACACCGACACACGCGCACACACCCAAUGGAACCGGCAGCCGGUGGAGGGCAGCAGGCGAGACGGCGACCUGCCGGCCUCAUCGGCCUCCACGCGCUCCUCUGCUUAUCGCUGCUCCUCAACGCGCUCCUCCUCGCGCACCACUUCCUUCCGCCGUCGCGGUUGCUCGGACACGACGGCGGAGGCAGCAGCGGCUGCGGGCUGAGCUGGGCGCUGCGGGCGGCCAGGGAGGCCGAGGCGGCGGCCGCCGUCGACUGCUCGGGCCACGGGCAGGUGUUCCUGGAUGGCGUCGCCGGCGAGGACGGGCGGCCCGGCUGCGAGUGCAACGCCUGCUUCGCCGGGCCGGACUGCUCCCUACGCACCCCCGACUGCACCGCCGACGCCAACAGGUACGCGACCCGGCGUCGUCACGGCGCCUUCCCGUCGUCUUAGGCUCUUAGCUAUGGCUUCCAUCAAGAGUAGGAGAGUUUGCAACUGAUGCCAUGAGUGGAGGUCCGGCGUUGGCUCGGGGAGCAGUAGUGCUAAAAAGGAAGAUGACCCUGCGUCGACAUGCACGAUGCGCUGGUUACUUGGUUGAGAUUUUUAAUGUUCCAUUGGGAAGCGAUCAAGUCUAAUCCUAGCCCCGCCAUGGAGAUGAGCCGAUUAACCUAUACUAAGUAUAGUCCAUCAACCCGUGCUCCCGCACAGGCUAAUAUUUUUAGAAGCUAUUUUAUUUGAAAAUUAUUUAAAAAUUAAACUCCUAACUAAUAAUUAAAAUUAUUUACCUACUACUCUCUUAUUUUUCAAUACUUCAACAUAAUACUUAUAUAGAUAUGUACCUAUCUUUGUCCAGUUCUAAUUGAUUUUUAAUUAAUAAUUACUCUAUGCAUAUUUUCAUCCAUAUUCGUACUUAUUCCAUUUUGUAUCACACCUUAAUCCUCCAUACAUUAUGUUUAGCAUAGAAAUCAAUAUUUUUCAUCGAUUCCUCACAUACAUGUAUAAAUGGUCUAAAUGGUGGCACUCAUCAUGUGUAUAUACUUUAACUUAGUAUUUUUAUAUUAACAAUGACAUAAAUAGGUAAUUUGGAAUCAUAUAUUAGUUUACUUUUUGACAUUUCUGUAUCAUACACAUGAAGAUAAUUAGAUUAAUAUUUAGGUGUUUACUUUAGGUUAUUUUUAAUAACGACACACGUGGAUAACAUAGAUAAAAUUUUAGAAUGACAUUUUAAGUUAUGCUUUAUAAUGAUGUGUAUUAGUAAAUUGGAUGAAGAUUAUAGGUUACUUUAGAUUAUUUUUUAUAAUAGUUGAUCUCGGUAAUUUAGAUAUAGGUUUAGAGCUCAUUUUUGAAUAUUUUCACAAUGACAGUGGAGGGUAACUUUUUAGAAAAUAUAAUAGAUCAAUGGCUAUGAUUAUUAGAGUUUACAGGAUUAGUGUUUGAUGUUUUUAAUUUUUAUAAGAAUUUAUCCCUUUUUUCUAGCUUGUAUCGUGGGAACUAAUGCGGAGUCUCCAAUGGAAAAAAAUAAGACUACAUUGCUACAAAACUAUUACCAUAAGCUACCUCUCGUUUGUUAAAUAUUCGAACACAAUACUUACGUAGAUAUAUACUUAAUAUCUUCAUCCAAUUGUGAUAGAUUUUAGUUAGUAAUUACUCUAUAAUAUUUUCAACCACAUUUAUAAUCUUUAACUUUUCACUUUGCAUCGCAGGUAUGCGCUUGAAUUUGUUUAAUGAAUCCUAAGUCUGAGAUACAAUUUUAGCAUAGAAAUCUAUAUUCUCAUCACCUUAUAUCCUUAUAAAUGGUUAGUAAUUACUCUAUAAUAUUUUCAACCACAUUUAUAAUCUUUAACUUUUCACUUUGCAUCGCAGGUAUGCGCUUGAAUUUGUUUAAUGAACUCUAUGUUUGAGAUACAAUUUUAGCAUAGAAAUCUAUAUUCUCAUCAGUUUAUAUCCUUAUAAAUGGUGACACACAUCAUGCGUAUAGACCUUAAUUAUUAUAUCGUAUACCAAUAGUGAAAGAUAUAGGAGAUUUAGAAUCAUAUAUUGCUGUAUAUUUUUAAUCAAGGUUAUUUGAUUCAAACGAAGGGUUACCCUAUGUUAUUUUUUAUAAUGGCACGUUUGGGUAAUAUAGAUGCAAAUUUAAGGGUUCCUUUAAGUUUUUUAAGGAACAAUGGUAGGCAAUUCAAUUGCAAAUUAGAGGUUAUUUUAAAUAUUGUUUAUAAUGGUAUAAGUGGGUAAUUUGGAUAAAGAUUAGGGGUUACUUUAGUUUAUUUUAUAUAAUGGCAGAGGUGGGUAAUUUAUUUGUAGAUUUAGGGGGUUACUUUAGGCUAUUUACAUAAUGGUAUAGGUGGGUAAUUGUUUAGAAAAACAUAAUAGAUCCAAAGGUUACGAUGAUUUUAAUAUAUCGAUUGAUGGUCGGAUGUUUUGCUUUUUGAUGAGAAUUUCUGUCCACCUAGGAUAGGAAUCCUUGGUGGCUUUACAAAAGAAGCCUCUAAUCAGUAAUAGUAAGAUAAGAUAGUAAGAUUCCUAUCCUGAGGCGUGGCUCCUGACCUCAUCGAUUAGACGAUUAACAAUUGUCCGUACCUUUUACUACUCCCUGGGAUUGUCUCGGCAGCCAGCAGGAGAGUGGGCGAAGGUGAACGGCCGUUUUCUGUCAACUGCAGGUCUAGCCGUCGUGUGGAAGUGUGGAACUAUUCAUGGUUGGCCGCAUCGCAAAACGUGACGCCCUGCGUGCCUAGUUGCUUUAUUUCAGAGCCUGUUUAAUUGCUGGAUUUUAGACAACUAAAAUCACUGCGCUAGCACUGUAGCAUACUGUAGCGUUUCGUUUGUAUUUAUGAAUUAUUGUCCAAAUAUUGACUAAUUAGGCUCAAAAGAUUCAUCUCGCAAAAUACAACCAAACUGUGCAAUUAGCUUUUGAUUUCGUCUACAUUCGGUACUUUAUGCAUGUACCGUAAGUUUGAUGUGAUGGGAAAUCUUCUUUUUGCAUAAUUUAAAGUUGGAAUUUUGGGUAACUAAACAUACUAUCUGACUGCUGAGUGCUCACGCUGGUCGUGUGUCCAAUGAUUGCCGCAGCGGGAACCCGCUGUUCCUGGAGCCGUACUGGCGGCGCCACGCGUCCGCCGGCGCCGUGGUGGUCUCCGGGUGGCACCGCAUGAGCUACACCACCACCGACGGCCACGGCCUGUUCCAGUCCGUCGAGCUCGAGCGCCAGAUCCGGCGCCUGCACAGCGCCGUCGGCAACGCCGUCGUCGACGACAAGCACGUGGUCUUCGCCGCCGGCUCCAUACAGCUCAUCAACGCGCUCGUGCACGCGCUCUCCCCGGACGCCGACGCCGCCUCGCCACCGGCCCGCGUGGUCGCCACCGCGCCUUAUUACCCGGUCAGCCUGCGGCCUCUCUUUCGUAUUACACUGCACAUUGCCUAUAAGAGAAUCAUAGAUGGGGUGGAUCAAACAAGUCAUCGUUAAGUUUCAACCAUUGAUCGACUUUGCAGACUUACAGAACACAGACGAAGAUGUUCGACGGCCGCGAGUACAUAUGGGGCGGGACCACGGCUCUGUGGGGCAACGCGUCGCGGAACUCCACCGAUGGCUUCAUCGAGUUCGUCACGUCGCCCAACAACCCGGACGCCCAGCUCUACAAGCCCGUCCUCGGCGGCUCGGCCGCGGUGAUCGUCGACCACGCCUACUACUGGCCGCACUUCACGCACAUCCCGGCGCCGGCCGACGAGGAUGUCAUGAUGUUCACCAUGUCCAAGCCCUCCGGGCACGCCGGCAGCAGAUUCGGGUACUUGCACGCUACUGCAUAGUCGUCGUCUCAGCUCUGCGCAUGGAGAAUGACAUGAGCAUGUCGUGCGCGCGCGCGCGCUGCGCAGGUGGGCGCUGAUCAGGGACCAGGACGUGGCCAAGAGGGCAAACAAGUACGUGCAGGACAGCAUCAUGGGCGCGUCCCGGGACACCCAGCUGCGGAUGCUGGGGAUCGUCAAGGUCAUGCUCGCCAACCUGCACGGCGAGGAGGACAUCUUCGCCUUCGGGCACGGCGUGAUGAGGACCAGGUGGCGCAGGCUCAACGCCGUCGUGUCGCGCUCCCGCCGCAUCUCCCUCCAGAAGAUGGCACCCGCGUACUGCACCUACUUCAAGCGGAUCAGAGACCCAUCGCCGGGUGAGCCGUCUCAGCUUUGAUCGGCAUUAACAUCGCAGCUCACUUAUCGACGUUACUGAACCUGUUACUGCACUCGGUGGGCAGCCUACGCGUGGGUGAAGUGCGAGAGGGAGGAAGACGAAGACUGCCAUGAGGCCAUGCUGAAGGCGAAGAUCAACACGCGUCCCGGCGUCUUAAACGAGGCUAGCAGCAGGUACACGAGGAUCAGCCUCCUCAAGUCGGAUGAUGACUUCGAAGCGCUCAUGGAGAGGGUCACGGAUCUUGUCAAUGCCGAGAGGUACGACGCUCCCGGUUUCAGCUCUAUGUGACGGUAAUAGCCACUGAAGUUCAUUGGUCCGAUAAGGCAAGUACUAUACCGGGGCGAUCAAAUCCGAGCUGUUGUUUCUCGUGAUAUAAGCUGCUGAGUAUUGGUACAGCACAAGUUCUCAACGGGCAUGAUAAGAUACUGGAAAUCAUCAGCUAGGCGUUGAUGAUUAUUCUACAAAAUCACUUGAACGGUCAACUAGAAGUUGGGUGUUUCUUUUUUUAAAAAGGGAAAAAGUUGAUUGUUUCUCAGCGUGAGCUGGCGGGAAUAGUUGGGCAUGACUGGAAAAAAUUAUACAAGAGAUGAUCAGCUACGGGUUGAUUGCUCUCACUGCGCAGAUCAUUAUGUAGUGUAAGUAUAUAGGAAAGAAAAUGUGCAUUGUGUGUAUGGAAUAGGUCAAUAGUAAUUGAAUGGACACUAUGUACUGCAACAAUGUAAUAGCUUCUCCAUCAACGCAUGUGCAACUGCUUGAGGUACAAAUAUUUUCUAAAAAACACAUGAGUAAUUGAACUUCGCAAAAUAACUUAUGUUUAAGACUUAGAGGUGAAUAACUUGUAUAUGUUGACAAUAUUUAAUCUAUGAAUUAACUUUGAUAACUUAUCCCCUAGCCGGAGAAGAGAAGAAAAAGAGGGAAAAAAAAGGUAAAGAAGGAAGGAGAUAACGAGGACCGCCCCCCUUCCCCCACCCCCCCCCCCCACCCACAACCUCUGCCUCCGUCACUACCCUCAACUAACUUGAUUCUAGCUCCAUCACUGGAUACUAAACAUCAAUGAAGAAAUACGAGCAAACUUCUACCUUCCUGGCCGAAAAUUUCUCCUUCAGAGUUCGCGCAUGGUGAUCGGUGAGAAGCAUUCCAUGGGGAUCUCACAGAUAGGUGUAAUUUGAAAUGCAUCGUAGGACGCCAAAGAAAUUUGAGCUCCUUUACGGUGGAUAAUACUACCCUAUACUACUGUUUGAAAAGGACUCGUAUGGAAGGAUCCAACGGUUGAGAUUAAUUGUAUACUACUAAAAUCUUAAGCUGUAGUAUAGGUAGUAUGCAUGAGUAGUAUGGGUAGUAUAAGGGUAUUAUUGGAAAGAUGUUAAAUGACAAUGUUGUAAUAGAUCAAAUGAAAUCUUUGUUAAUUAUAAUCUUGUUUCUUUUUAUUCCUCCUCAUUUCCAAUCAGUCGGAGGUUGCGACUGGGCCUCCUCAUUUCCAAUCCGUCGCAGGCUCCUCUAGGGUUGCAACGGGGUGGCGGCGCCGACUCCCCGGCGGCGGUAGGCGGAGAAUCCGGCGGUCGGCAGAGACUCCGGCGGUCGGCGGGGACUACGCGGCGGGCGGCGGUGACUCCGCGGUUCAGGAGAUGCGCGCCGCGUUGCUGCUCCACGGUACCUAGGGUUGAAAUGGGGCGGCGGCGGCAACUCCGUGGCGGCGGGCGGCGGAGACUCCAACGGUCGACGGUGACCAAGCGGCGGGCGGCGGCGACUACACAGCUUAGGGUAUGUGCGUCGCCUUCGGCUUUUCCCACACCCACGCCGCCUCCCGCCGCCAGCCCGCCUCCGGAUUUUCCAGGCCGCAGGCCGCCUCCCAUCGCUCGGCCGCCGCCGCCUCCCACCCGCCGCCCGCUGUCUGGACGCCUCCCAUCGCUCUCGCUUGGGCCACCGCUGCCGCCAGCUCUUUCAUGUCCGCCGCCGCCUCGUCCUCGUCCUUGUCCUUGUCCUCCUCCUCCUCCUCCUCCUCCUCCUCCCUCCUUUCCAGUUCGCCGCCACCUCCGCGCCACCUUCCGUCGAUCUUGGUCGGCCCCCUGCCACCACCGCCGCCGCCGCUAGCCCUUUCCAGUCCGCUACCGCCUCCUCCUCCUCCCUCCUUUCCAGUCUGUGCCGAGCGGACUCUGCACCACGGCGAGCUGUGCCGGAUCCUCGCGGAGCUCUUCCCGAAGUACCCGAUUCAGACGAGGUAUGGUUAUUGUGCUGCUUACUGAUUCUAGGAAAGGAACUGGUGCUGCUCUGAAUCACUGCAAGCUUGCUUCAAUGAAGAGGCUUUAGUAAUCUGAAGAAAUGAAAGAAUUCACUAGCAUGAUUUAGGCAGGCACCUCUGUGAUGUAGAAACUAACAGUAGCUCUGGUGAUUGUUUAUCCAAUUAUGAUUUUUCAGAAUUUGCUAAAUGAGGUAAUAGGUGUAAUUCUUUUACGCUUGAGAUGGUUCUUUUUUUUUGAAAAAAAUAGCGCAGAUGGUGAGGACCGGGAGGAAAUAGGUGCUGUUCUAGACCUGUAGGGCAGUUGGUGUGUCCUGAUAAACUUGUAGUUGUAGCGAAGGGAUACAUUAUACAGUUCAAGAUGACUAGAUGAGUGCAUAGUAUAAAUGUUAGAGAAGGCAGUAUAAGAAAAAUUGCUUAUUUUUUAUAAAAAAUAAAUUCUGAACUACUAUUAUUGGCCCAUAGAACUGGAAUAGCUGACCUGGUAACUAUCAUUCUUUCUGUUUUGGCCCAGGGAGCUGAAAUUGCUAACCUGACACAGAUACAGUUGAAUGAUUCAGUACCUGCCACUUGAGAAGGAAUGAAGGCAGGACAUGUGUUUCUAAGGAAAAACACAUCAUCUGCUCCUGCUCUAGUUUCCUGAAGCUUUGUUAGGUACUUGUUUAGUGUGUUCAAGCUUCCUAUAUCAGCUUUGAGAGUACCGAUUAAGUGAUUGUUUGAGAUAUCAAGUUCGAUAAGGUUGUGAAGAUUAAAUAAACUCUGUGGUAAGGUUGAAGACAACUGAUUAUGGGACAUAGAAAUGCGUUGUUAUUCAGGGAAAACAAAAGUUAAACUACCUUGAAGUAUAUGAUAUGUUCCUAUUAACAUCUAAACUAGGGAUCUGCACAUAGAAAUGAAAAGAACUUCAUUGGUUUGAAAUACUCGAUCAUCAUAGAUAAUGGAGUAAAACACAGAAAAAAUGGAAUGUAAUCUAUUUUUCAUUGUCUUGCAUCGUGUAUGUCUCCUCGGCAUUGGUAGCUUUGUAUCCUGGACUUCCCUUCACUUUGUUCCACGUAUAGUUAACCAAUGUGACAGCUAGCUUGAGCCUGAAAUUAGUCAUAUCCUUCUGCACAUAACGAAUACAAAUGCCUGUUAGCUGUAAUGUAAGAUGGGCAUAGAUUGGGUUGCUGAAUUUGUGUUGUUCAACUUACCUAUGUGAAUAAGAAAGAUAAUUUGUUUCUGGUCCAAAGCUCCAUGAAUUUAACCGUAAAUAGUCCACACGAUGCACUGCGAGUUUAUUUGGUAUUUACACAAGUUAGGAAGUACUAAUUAUGGGAACCCGAGUAUAUUGACAGGUGUUGAUGUGCUUGUACUGGUCAGUCUGGAUUGUCUUUUUUGAUGCAUUCAAUGACUGUCCAUUCUUUAACUUGGGUGUCCUUCCACCUAUGAUCUUUGAUCAAUUGCAGGUCUGCAAGGCGUGUCAUACGGUUCUGCAACCCUUGCAACUGAGUUCAAUAGAAUCAUCAGUGGUUGAGGUAAUCAUGUAUAAUUUGUUAUUAAGUAGUCGGUACCAGAUUAUUAGUGUAUCACCAUGUAGUUGUGGCCGGCGAGUGGCAGUCCCCUUGGAGUCAAGUACAUGAACGACACCCUUACGACCAUUGAUGACCACCAAAUACCAAUGACAAUCUUUAAUGUUGAUUGGAAAGAAGACCUAAAAAACUUAUUUCGUUAGAUGUUUGCCUGCGCCAAAUCAACCAUUUAUAGCUGUAAUAGGAUGCAAGCUGUGCCAUGUCAUUGUUGAGAUAAGUUAAUGUCCGAUAUAAACGGAAGUUGCCUUCUUCUUUAUUUCGUAAUGAAGCGAUGGUAUCCCCACAUAUCAUGUUGGCAUUGUAAGUUGUCUCUAGAUAGGCAUAUCCAUCUUCCCUUUCGUUGAUACUAGGUUGUGCUUUUAGUAUUCGGAUGUAAGCAUUCAUAACCUUUACUUGCAAGUUAAACUUCAUUAGAUUGUAUUGUUGAAAUAGGAACAUUUUUAUGUAGAGAUAUACUAACCUAAUCAUUCAGGAACAUUUCACUGUUGAGAAGGCACUCUAGAUCCUUCUUUGUUGCUAUGUAAAUACCAAUAUCAACAAAACUUUAUCCUGUGAUGUUGAAUUGAUGUACUGGACAAUGGACAACUCAUCUGCAUUGAUCAAAUACUCUGCGGAUAAUAGUUAGAUGACUAAUAUUAUCUAUGUAUUGGUAAAGAAAUUCGCACGGAGUAGUACCAUUUGACGUGCUAUCAGUUGAUAGUGGUUCAUCAGGUAUCGCAACAUCUAGGAUCUCUUCUUUUUCCUUGUUCUUGUUGGGUCGAUGACGUUUUGUGCCAAUACUGUACUCAUACUGGAUGUUUGUUUGUUGGAUGGGUUUUUUUUGACGAUUUGAUGGAUUCCUCGCUGUAGUUUUGUGCUUUGGUUGUGCCUUAUUCUCCUUUAUGUUUAUUUCAGGCUUGCCUAUAUGUGUGUCCGUCGCCUCAAGCACGACAUUUGUAGGUUGUACCACUACCCUUGAUUCCUGCAAGUUCGCAACGGCUGCAAAUGAUGGUAGUCGAGCUCGGAACUGAAUGAAGGUAUGCCUAAUAAUAUGAUAAUAGACUUACACGUUGUUCUUGUAUUACAUUAUCGAACCGCUUGUUAAGUGCAUUGAACCUGUCAUCAAUUUGAUUUGAUGGUAACCUGUACUGAUUGGUAAUGAACACUUGAAGUUCCUGCAUAAUUUUGUGAUUGCUAUCAGCUUGUCUCUUGUCCGAUUGUUCUGAUGUUGUGUGGCAUUAGGGGAUUGAGCAUGAGUUGUUAUGUUUAUGUCUUGUAAUGUCAUGGACAAUCUGACAUAGAAUAGAAAGAAGGAUUUUGUUAGUAACUGCUGGGAUUUCUAUAAAGUAAUGAGAUGGUUACUGAUGUUCGAUACACUUUUACCUUCCCUUCCCCAAAAUGAUGGUUGCGUGCUAGUUUGCAUCGUUCUUUAGCUCUCUUUUCGUCCCAAUAUUGCAUAAGUGGUUUGUCCCCUCCAGGAUGUUCUAAUGUAGGGUACAUAUGAGACAUAGACACCUUCUCCCAGUAAGACCUGUAGUUAAAAAAAUUGUAGUAGUGUUUGCUGUGAAUAUAAACAUAGUGUCAUGAAUCUUUGUUCAAUAUAUGCAAUGUACAUACCUGCAAAAGAACUAGAUUCCCUUUAAGAUUAGCUGCCUUUACCUCCCUGUAUUCCCGUAUGCUUCUGAUCAAGAAAUUAAGAACCAGGCUGCUCCAGUUCAGGUUCUUGAUAUUAUCAAUUUCUUCAACGAGCCCAAGAUAAUCUGAUUUGACGUAUGGCUGUAGUGUUGGGCACAAGUAGAAACCAAUGGUGUACAACACAAAUAUGCGAAUAAAGUCAUCACCAUAGGUUUUGUUCUUGCUUAAAUAUUCCCUCAACUCCGAUGAAUGAUGCUCCUUUAUUUCAUCGCCUUGGGAUGGAAAGCCUAGUAUAUGCUCAACAUCUUUGAUGGAUAUUUUCACCUUGUUUUCUUGAAUGUUGAAUUCUUCUUUGUCUAAGUCGAAACUGUACGCAAUCUCCUUGCAUAGCUCACGUCGAAUCUCUAUGUCCUUAAGCUUAAGUAAAGAACCAAAUCCUGCUUUCUCAAUAGCAUCCUUUUGUUCUUGGUUCAACAUGCUUAUAAUCUCUACUAGUAAUUUCUGCGAGCAUUUACAUGUACCCUGAAGGAAAAUAAUAAUUAGAGUUGCUUCAGAAAGAAAAUUGGCCCAUAUCCUGGGAACAUAACUGGUACUGGGAACAUAACAAGGGAUGUUUUUUUGCAGCUUAUGUGAAGUUCAGGUAUGUUUCUUGUAAUUGGUGUUGAUCUAUGUUUUUUUUCAAUAAACAUAUUAAUAGUCUGCUAUUUCCUUUGUAGGUGUUGAAUUAUAGCAAGCAUUGCAGAGUUUGUGACAAAUGUGUAGAUGGUUUUGAUCAUCACUGCCGGGGAACUUUUUUUAUUUUUAACCCUUUUUUUUUAUUUUUAAAAAUAACCUCACCCGCACUUUAUUUGCGCGGUGUGACCCUUUUGGCCGCGCCAGACCGCCUGCACUGGCGCGGCGGCCCCUGCCACGCUGGCGCGGCCAGUCGCGGCGCCAGGUGGGCGCUGAUGUGGGCGGGCGUUCGCCGCGCCAGCCCGCCUGGUGCGGCAGGGCCAGCACUAAAUCCGCGCGCCGGCUCCCUUCCUCCUCCCUCCCUCCUUUCUUCCUCCUCCAGACACCCCACACACCAGCACCUUGUAGCGCCGGCCCCCACCGCCCCACCCCCAAAUCCACCCAAAAUCCGACGAUUUGGGUGGGGAAAAGUAGUGAAAAUCGAUCCCUGCUUCGUAUGGAAGGUAUUCCCCUACUUUUUCUCGUGUUUUACCGUUGCAUUUGGUAGAUCGGAGGAUGUUUAGGUGACUUAGGGUUAGGUUAAUGAUUUGAAUUUUGAAUGAAAUGCAAUGGUGUUUUGUGUUAGAUGAUACGUAGUUCAUACGCAAUUAAGUCUCUGCCCGCGAUAUUGACGUGUAGAACUUGUUGAAUGCUUCGAUUUAGGUAUAUAUUCAUCCAAAUUUGUGGUUUACAUGACAUGUAUUUUUUUUAUAUCUUCAAUUAAUUAGUCUCAUAUUUUUGUUCGUUAAUAUAGUUGCUAUAGUUGAUAUGUUUCAGUGUUUGUAUUUUGUAGAUCGAGUGUUUACAUUUUAUCAAAAUGAUGUAUAUAACUCGUAUGGAUUACGUGUGUAAAGUUUAUUUGUGUAUUAGAUUUGUUGCACUUGAUUUCCAGGUGAGAUGGCGUCGUUUGGUUGUGAAUACUAACGGCGUACGUGGUAUGUGCGUUAUGUGGGCGAGUCCGAUGGUGCUGGUCCCGUACCUCCUGCCCUUCCGGUACCUCAUAUGUAGAUGCGGAGCGCAAGCAGAGGUGAAACAAUCAAAGCAUCCAAAGACAGCCGGAAGAGCCUUCUAUGUAUGCAAAUGGACUUUUGAUACAAUGCCUGCCGCACCUUGUGAUUUCUUUCAGUGGAUCGAUGGACCCGACAAAUAUGAUCCUAGGAUCCGCCUAUUCCCAUAUCAUAGCACAGAGCUUAAACCAUACCAUCAGUUUAGGCGUUGGGUUCCUCCUCCACCAAACCCACCUAGGAUGACCGAGGAGGAGAAGCAGGAGGCUGCUUGUAGGCGUGUGAGGGAUCCUCCCAUGUGCAAGUGUGGUGUUCCUGCUAAGCUUAUGCGUUCUAACUUAGGGGAUCCACCUAAGUUUACUCCAUUCUUUCGAUGCUCCCUAAAGACUCAUGUAAGUAUAUUACGAGAAUAUUAGUAUGUCGUUUAGCUAGCAGUUAUAAUUUUGCAGUAUAUUGUUCAUACUUUUACUUGAUGUUAUUGCUUGGAAGUUGGAGCAGCAUUUUGUAGUUACUUUACAUAUGAGUAGUUCACGUCACGGGUUUUUUGCAGGAUGGGUGGCCGUUGUGUGAUUUCAAUGAGUAUAUAUACGGUCCAAUGGCAAUGUGGCCAACAGAGGAGCAAGUGCGGGAGUUCGAAAGUGGAAAGGCACCGUGGCCAUGUGUGUCCUCUCCUAGUGAUAGAUGCAAGUGUGGUAUAUUGGCAACAGAAGGUGUGGUGCCUUCUGAACUUGGAUAUGGUUCGUUCUGUGGAAAUGCACAUGGCGAUUACUGGGUUAGUAACUACUCGUCUCUUAUGUGUUAUGAAGGUUGGAACUUGUUUCAAAUUUGUAAGAAUAUUGAAUUGUUGUUGCAGGAGGGAAGGACAUGUGAUUGGGAAGAUUUUUGUGGUCGAUAUGAUUUGUUAUUAAAGUUGGGAAAUACAUCGGAACCAUGGAAGUCAAGGAAACAACAAGAAAUUAAAGAAAAGAUUAGGAAGGAGUAUGAUGUGCCUAUUCCUGACGACGACUUGCUUUGGGGGAAAAUAUAUCAAGAUAUGGUGCAUGAGACUGGAGUGGAACCUGAAGGACUUUAUGCAAGGGAAACUAUUAUUAAGUAUUGGAGGCAAAAUAGAUCCAAGUAUCCACGACCUCUAACUGAAAAUGAGAAGAGAGAAAAUAGGAGGAAGUUGCAGGAGGAGAGGGAGUUGGAGAAACAAAGGUUGAGGGAGGAAAGAGAUCGCUUAGGUUAUGUGGUUGAUCCGAAUGUGAAAUACCCUAAGGGUUCAUGGGAAGAAUAUUUGCAGCAAGUUAGGGCAAGAAAGAGAAGGAUUGAAAUGGAAGAGUUACAACAAAAAACGGAAGAGGCACAGAUGGAGACGAUGAAGGCUAUUGUUGCCGAUUUACCUGUUGGUAAGGUUAAUGUCGAUAAGAAAGGCAAGGGAGUUGUUGUUGCCGGAGAUGAUGAUGAUGAUGAUGAUGACGAGUUACUAUACAAAGGUGACUCGGACUAGAUGAACGUGUUGAUGUAGCUGGAUCAUGUUUCUCUGUAGCUGUGAAAACUAUGUUCUUUUAUGAGAAAACUAUGUGUAUGUUUAUUCUGGGAACUACAAUUAGUUGUCAAAAACUAUUUUCAUUUCCGAGAGAACUAUGUCCAAACACAUCAAAGUUUCCUCUCCGAGCGGGUGAUGGGGCGGCGGGCGGUGGGAUGCUUCGUAUUCUCGUACGAAGGAACACCAUCGAGUAGAUUUUCGGUCAAGUUGCAGGAAGGAAGAGCAGAGGGCAGUGGCCCGGUUCUAUAGGCGCGACGCGACUGCACGAGACUGGCGUGCAUGCGUUGUGCGCUAGAGUGUGAAAGAAAUAGUAGUAGCUUCGAUGGGAUCGAUGAUUUGGAUGGAGGACGAGGAGGAGUGGGCGGUGGAGGAGGAGGAAGGCAUAGCGCUGGUAGAGCGGGUGUACUUGCAGUGUACUUGCAGUGGGCCGGAGAAGUACACUGCCAAAGUGACCAAUCGUUUCAUUUGCCAAAGUUGAAGAAAGGUAUUUGAGGCACCUGUGCAUGAUGGACCACAAGUGCAAGCAAAUUGGGAUGCUAGUUCAGCCCCAUUUUUACUCUCUUCUAGAUCCACCCUUUGCAGUGAGUACUUCCUAUGUCAGAAAGGCAAGAAAAUGAAGGCAUUUGUGAUGCAAUAAUAGUAGAAGACGAAGUACGAAUGGGGCAAUACGUACCCCUAACAUUUAAUGCAUGUGUGUGUUCUUCUUAUCCAUGAUUGCGCACCGGUCUGAUCUAAUCCUAUUGCAGAACACUCUGUGGGCGUCUUGUUAGUACCCUCUGCCUUGUGUUAAAUGUAGUUAGAAUUACCGGGCCUACUAAUAAACAUUACUCUAUCCUAACCACAGGCUUGCUACGCCACUCUGCCUGGCGAAGCAGAAAUGCGCUGGUGGUAGGGGAGGGGGCUUGCCGCGUCAAACGAACCGAACUUUCAGUAUGUUUCGCGGGGGGGGGGGGGUGUGGGCCUUGCCGCGCCACUCCGCCUGGCGCGGCAAGUGGGCCUUGCCGCGCCAACCAAAACGACCUUUCAGUAGGGUUUCACCGGGGGAGGGCCUUGCCGCGCCAGGCGGCCUGGCGCGGCAGAAGUUAGCUGCCGCGCCAAACGAAAUGAACUUUCAGUAGGUUUCCAGCCGGUGGGGGGGGGAGGCUUGCCGCGCCAGGCGGCCUGGCGCGGCAGGAGUGAGCUGACGCGCCAACUGCAAUACACUUUCAGUAGGGUUCCGGGGGGGGUGGCCGGUCUUGCCGCGCCAGGCGGCCUGGCGCGGCAGGGGUGCGCUGUCGCGCCAAGUUAAACACGCUUUCAGUAGGUUUCGCCGGGUGGUGGUGGCGGGCCUUGCCGCGCUAGGAGGCCUGGCACGGCAGGAGUGCGCUGCCGUGCCAAUUUUAGUAAACUUUCAGUAGGUUUCGGGCCAGGGGGGUGGGGCGUCAGGAGCGCGCUGCACAAUCCGAAACGUAUAACGGUGACAUGUACAAGGGGCUUUCAUAGUUAAGACCUCUUGCCUUGCAAGCUGUAAUGAAGUGUGAACAUGGAAGGUGCAACAAUUGAGGAACAUUGCAGGUGCACGAAACUUCGUGCAGAUCCACUCUGUAGUGUCGGCCUCCAUGACUCUCACCCCCAAUGUUAGUCGUACCAUAACUUCUUAUAGAAUACACCAUCCUUUCUGGCCCAUACGGUUCUUCUAAGUGGUGCACGGAUCUAAGCUCAGCCUCUGAUAAAUAAUCAUCUGCAACUUGCCCAAUUCUAUAGCCUUGAUCCAACAUUUCACGUGCCUUUCGCCAUCGGUUCACAAAGUAGGCGUUGCAUUUUUCGAAUGUGUAUUCAAUAAUUCCAGCGACGGGCCUACUUCGGAUGCCUUUGAAAACUCCGUUGAGUGAUUCCGAGUAGUUCGUGGUCAUAAUACCCCAACGCAUCCCUCCCUCAUCGAAAGCCUGCGCCCAUUUAUCCUUGUCCUCCAUUUCACCCUUCAACCAUUCUUUUGCGUCGUCGUUCAAGUCCUUCACUAAAUCUUCUAACUUCUCACAAAAUUCUCUCUCUGUAUGAACCUUGCAUAAUAAUUUCAAUUUUCCAAUCACACGAUUGCUCUUCUGCCGACGCGACAUGUUGGCAGCAAAGUGCCUCGUGCACCACCUAUGCACAAGCGGUGGAAAACCAUCAAUGUGGUCCUUCGCACAAUUUAGGAGCCCAUGAUGCCUAUCUGAUAUCAUACACACUAUCCGUGAAGGUCCAAGAACAUGUACCCGAACAAGUUUCAUAAACCAUGACCAACUCUCAUUAUUCUCACUCUCGACCAAGGCAAAAGCAAGAGGCACAAGCUGUUGUUCUGGAUCUACAGCAACUGCCAUCAUUAAUGUACCCUUGUACUUGCCAGUCAAGAAUGUACCGUCCACAAGUAUCACAGGACGGCAAUGUUGAAAUGCCUCACUACAUUGAGGGAAGCACCAAAAUACCCUUUGCAGUAUAUGCUUCAAAACUCCAUUGUCAGGAAGCAUCAUGCCACAUGAGUCGAUGCACCAUUUAACUCCGGGAUUGUAGUAGGUCAUAGCUGAGAGUACCCUAGGAACCAUGCCGUACGACUCCUUCCAGUCGCCCCAAAGCAGGGCAACAGCGUGUUGCUUUGCCCGCCAAGCCUUCGAAUACUUCACACGGUACCCACUAAAGAUGAAGAUGGACUCCACGAGUGAUGGCACCGAUGUCUCGCUGUCUUUACGGAUAAUGCCUAGGAUACGCCGUCCAAGGUACUUUGCUGUGCACUGUACAUGCUCUCGCUUCGGCUGUGACGACCGACAAGUAUGCGGUUGCACAACAAUUGAAAUUCUCCAUUGUCCGGUGCUUGAUAUUAGCCGAGACCAUACACGCCAAUGGCAUCCUUGCUUGCACAUCACAUUGUAUCUUAAGUUCUUGUCAGAGUGAACUACGCUAAAAGGUCUAUGUAACCUCACCGCGUAGUCAGCCAAGAAAAACUUCAGCUCCUCAAGACUAUUGAACUUCAUCCCCUUCUUAAUCACUGGACUCUGACCAAUGGACGUCCCUUCGGCAUUCACCAUACUAGAUUCACAUAUUGCUUUGUGAACCAUACUUAUGUCCUUAUCAUUGGGAAUGGAUGGCAGUUCGAUAUCACGUUCUUUUAACAACCGCAACUCAUACUGGGUGUAAGAAAAACAAUCGUCCAUACAACGAAUGCCUUCUACAUCAUGCACGGUUGCGGUGUCAAAUUGCGGUCCAUCCUCUUCAUUUUCUACCCCGACGUUCUCAUAUUCAUGCCCACCACUCUCAAAUAGUGAUUCCUCCUCUACCUCCACACCUACUACCCCAUCUUCCACCAAUUCACAAUCUUCGGAACCCAUAGAGACAUUAUCAACAUCUAUAUUUGCUUCAUCCCUCUCAAAAAUGUUAUUGGGAAAAUCAUCAUUGGCAAUAGCCAAGUCAAAAUCACGUUCUGUUUCACCUAACACGUGAUGCAACAUUUCUGACUCCUGGGUACCAUUAUGGUUCACUACCGCCACUUCCUCCCUCAUGACAACAUUUGGGCCAGGCAUACGAACAAUUUCGACUAUAACCUCCAAACAUGCAACAUUAGCUUCAUGCACAACAUCCUUAUAGUGCUUCCAAUUCGCAUCGGAUGCUAACUUCAUGAGAACAUAAUGAGCUCUAGCUUUCCCACAAUCAAAACGACCUCUCAAACUGAUCUCAUCCACUCUACAUCCAUACUUCCUCAUUACACGGUCAACUAAAUCACUAAAACUUGGAGGACCAUCGAAGAAUUCAAUUGACUCAUUCAUAUUCUCUAACUCCCCAUUUUGUUUCACAACACCACCAUCAAAAAAUCGAACUAAACGAUCCAUCUACAAAAUACAAACAUUUCACCAUGUCAUAUACACUACACAUUGCACAUAUUCGACAUAUCAACUACACACAUUACAUAUAUUGGACAAAUUGCAAAUAAAAAAUACACAUAUACAUUGCACUAUACGAUUCAAUGAAUACAUACCUAAAUCGACAAGUUCUACACGUCAAUAUCGCGGGCAGAGACUCCAUUGCGUAUGAACUACGUAUCAUCUAACACAAAACACCAUUGCAUUUCAUUCAAAAUUCAAAUCACUAACCUAACCCUAAGUCACCUAAACAUCCUCCGAUCUACCAAAUGCAACGGUAAAACAUGAGCAGCUUCUCUUUAGUGCCUUUCGUGAUUGUGGUGGUAUGAACUGUCAUCCUACUUUCAGAUACUGAAUAGUUCAAAGGUUAUUAAAUUAGCCAGCUCUUUUCACCAAUCUUUCUUGAGAUAUUGGUUAAAUUAUUGAUCUUUGUUGACACAGGCAUCAUGUAGCAUCCUAGCCAUGGUCGCUUCACUCCCGAUUGCCCAACUUCUUUUUUUCCACAUUCUUCUUAUCAAGAAGGUAAGUUCUGAUACAUUUCCCUUUUGUCUAAUUGUAUUUAGCUUUAAACAAUAAUAUCCUUGUUAACGAUAUGAGUAUCUAUGUCUUGAACAAGCUCAUGCACAUCACAGUUUUGGUUAAGUCUAGAAUCGGUUUUCAAAGUUAUGUCGUAGUUACAUAACUCUAAUGUGGUAAUCUGUCUAUUUGCAGUGAGAGUUUGUAUGAAGACUAUGAGUUUGACCAGUGGCAGCUUGUAGCACUAGUUCCUUCUAAGUUGUUUUUCAUAGCAGGCAGGAAGACUUACACGGCUUGUAGAGCUUGGUUGCUUCUUGAUCUACCUUGGUGGCUCAAAAUUGGUUGAAUGAAUCUGAUCCUGUUCAGUUUUUUUACAUGUCAUGUCGUAUUGAUAAAACUAAUCAUAAACUUUAUCGUUACAGAUAAGAUUGAACUUACUAGAUUGAAUGGGAGAGAUGUAAUUGGAUCAAUUAGUGCAAGUGGUGCAUGCUCCUUAUGUUGCGCAGGUGGUGUAUGGUCCUGCUCUUGUGUGUCAGGAUUGAUGGGUGGCACCGAAGAAGUAGCUCCGUCCACAUCCAUGGUGGCUGAGUUGUCUGAUGUGAAGCAAGAUGGUAAACUGCCGCUGCCUGCUACCUUCCUACCGCUGUAGCUGCCUUCUACCCUUCCUGGCUGCUGCAAGAUUGACAAGCCAGAGAAGGCCAGAGAUGUCCAUGUGAACCAAGAUUGUUGUCCGUGUGAAGCAAGAUUGUUUUUAUUAUCUCACGUCAAGUGUUAUUUUAAAUUAGGUGCUGUGAUAUCCUCACGCGAAGAGUUAGUUUAAAUUACGUGCUGUGAUAUCCUCACGUGAAGAGUUAGUUUACAUUAAAUUACGUGCUGUCGCUGACCGGCCCGUAUCGUAUCAUUAAUUAAUAAACUAGUCCACAUCGAUCCCCGCGAGAUACGAUGGCCCCGCCACACACGCUCCCCUGGCUUCCUCCUGUCGCGGCGCACUCCCUGUACGACGUGGCCUCAACGCGACGCAGCUUUCUUUCCCCGGCACAGGGGCACCACAGAUAAGAUUGUCCCCUGCCACGAAUCUCUCCGGGGUUCGUAAGUACAUUGCUGAACGAUUCAAGAAUCAGAACACAAGAAACACGCGCAGACGCUGUACUCGCUACCAUGGCCGUAUAGCCAGUUAACUGCAGCCUGCAGGCCUACUCGGCACAGAGCUGACCUCCAUCCUGGAGAUGCUGUUCCUCUUCCGAUCCUCGGGAGGCAAACGGCUGAAGGCCAACGAGAACCGAUGAAGGGUACAACAUGGGUCGGAUGAAGGUACCAAUAAAUUUAUUAAUGCACAUGUAAUAAAUGUACUCUAGUAUCCCGGUGGAUUAGGCAGUGGGUUUUGGCUUAAAAGAGCAUGGGUUCGAUCUCCUUGAAGAAUUUUUUUAAGUCGCCAUUUUUUUUAACUUUUUUAUUUUGCAAUAUUUAUCCUUACUUUAGUAUAUAAACACUCAAUAAUUUUGCAUAGCCAAAAUCAUUAGUAAUUUUUUGGAAUGUUACCUUUUUUUGUAAAUUCAUGUAAUUUCAAAAUUAUGAGCUUAAGUUUGUAUAUAGGUUUUCGAAGGUGGCAUGUACCACAUUUUGCUCCCGACAGCUACUUGACAUGUCACUAUGUCAGUCAAAACUGUUUGGCACCUUUGGCCUGUCAUUCAUUUGCCUAUGUCUCAUGUUCCUCUACAUGGCAUUGUAGUUAGUACGCAAUACCACCACCAAAAGUGAGAUUAGACCAGUAGCACCUUGUUAGCCCAUUUGACUUGCCAUGCAAUUGUCUAUGUACCAUGUUCCCCUACAUGGCCAUACAUGUACUCUUGAAGACCACAAGUCACAAAGCACGCGCCUUCAUCUAACAUGAACAUAAUGACACAAACUACAUGGAUUAUGAAACUAUAUCAUGGUUUUUGAAUUAUGACACAAACUAUAAGGUCAUCAAUAAAGUUUUCAUGUAAGUUUAAAAAUUGAAACAAAGUAUAUCAUUAUUUUUGAAUUAUGAAACUUAAAUUGUCACAAACUAUUUUCUUUUUUAUAUUAUCAUAAAUUAUAAACUUUAUAGAUGGUGUUACAUGCAAUAAUAUAGUUGUCAGUUUAUUUCGCCCGUACUUGGCCGAAUUUGAGAAACGGCCCGGCCCAACAACACCUCAUGCCUCUACGAACCCUACGAUCCCUUCCGCCCGACUCAUUCCGCCCUCACCCCCUCAUUCACGCCGCCCCCGUUCCAUUCUGGAUCGCGCCGCCCCCUCACCCCGCAUCGCACCGCACCCGCGCAUGCCGGGGAAGGGCUCGCGCCGGUCUCCCUCGACUCGCUCACCUGGGAGCCCGACCCCAAGCAUCAGUAGUAGCUCUGCCGCCGGCGCCGACCAGGCAGACGACCUCAGGCGGCUCCGCACCAGCGUCCAGGACUCCACGGGCAAGGCCAAGUACGCACCCUUCCCAGCUCGCCGCCCUCCUGUGUGUUAUCCCCUCCCCGGGCAAGGACAAGGUCAGGAUGCUUAAUGUGUGUUUCGUGAAUUCUUUGUUUGCAGACUUGUUUGCGAUAAUGAGCAUGUAACACACUGAAUAGCAGUACACUUAAAUUGUAGGAACUAAAACUGAAGAUAACUUUUUAAAUUGUAAGAGUCGAACUAGAUCUCAGGGGAUCCCUUCAUAGUCUGCUCCUCAUUGAAGACCGAGUUCACCAGUAUAGCUGCAAGCUUAGAUCUAAACUCAUCAAUAAGGUAUCGUGUGAAGCCUUUUUGUAGUCUGUAACCAUUCCAGUGCUCCAUGUACUUGAGCAUGAAUAGGCCGGAUGAUGUCCUGUCCUCCUGUUGCGGUAAUCCACCGAGCAUGUCGAUGUCCCAGGUCUUGAUAUUAAAAUCCUUCCACCGAUGGUAGUCCUCCUUCUCGUCGUUUUGAAUGAUCUCCAAAUAACAGUGCAAGCCUUCAACCUAUUUCAUAUAAUGUUAUUUCAUAAUGUGCAAUCAAAAUGGAACAGUACAAAGCAUACUUAAACCUCACCAUAUUCCUGACUUGUUGCACUAUUUUUGCAACGAAUUGUUUGUCGGAGUUCAAUACUUGUACAAUUCGCAAAUAAGCGUUCACUACCAUCAAGAACCAGUGUGUCUGCACACGCAUUGGGAGAAAUACCUACAAAUGUUGUAGUCAGUAUUGAACGCAUGAAAGUAUUGACUAGCAGUUAAGUAAAUAUGUCCUACCAUUUCAUGACUGACGUAUUUAAAUGCAACUGCACGCCUGUGCAUUUUUUCUUCUUCACAUAGCUCAGCCUCAUGUCUCUGUGUGUACUGGAACCUUGCAGGAAUGUGCGUGUUCUCCAGGUAAACAUUGGUGAACAUCCGUUUGUCGUCCGGGAUCUUCCCCCACAUGUCAUGUAUGCGUGCAUCUACUAUCUGCAUGAUACAAUAAUUAUCUGCAUGAGCUUGCCUAUCUAAUUACUAAUUAAAGUUUUGAUGCAUCAUUAUUUUAUUGUAGCUGGGGGUGCCAACUGACAUAGAGCAAUAUAAUACAGAAGCAACAGAACCAUUAAUUGAUCAGGACAGUAAGAACAAGGUACUUAAAUGACACUCCACUUCACAUCUUAAUGUUGGUAUCUUAAACAACAAGUAAAUGAACAAUGUUUAAGGACAGACCUUGUCAUCUAAACAUUUGUUGAAAGAGUCGUAGUCAUACUUUAUAGUCAAAGUGUGAAUCUCCUUUCUUGUUAAUACAAUACCCUUUAUUUUGAUAAUGAUAUCGUCAUCUUCUUGUUAAUACAAUACCCUUUAUUUUGAUAAGGAUAUCGUCAUCGUUGCCUCUGUUUAUAUUCAUAACUUGAAGAAAUUCAUCCAUGAAACAGCUGAACUCUGCAAUCACAUCAUCACAUAGUAUCAGUUACCGAUAUGAAUUAAUGUCAAAUGUUAGAUUGGAAACACUUCAUAUUACCUUUCUUUACAUUAGGUUUAUCCGACUCGCCUCGCCUCCUUUUUGUGCUAUCAUAGGGACCUGGAUUAGUAUCAUGAUCAUAGAACUUACUUACUUUUUCAUCAAUUGGCCUAGGUGCCUCUCCGGCUGUGCUUGAAAUCAGUCGCCCUUGUGCUACAUUCUGUCGUGCCAAACCAAAUUCGUUGAUCUGCUCUUCAGGCUACAAGGUUGUGAGUAGGCAAGUCAAACUCACAUGUAGGAUUCAAAAUUUAUCAGUACGUACCUGGUUGUAGCACUUAAUGUCAAUCAGUGAACGUUGAAUUGUGUGAAAGGCGCUAGUAAUUUCUUUUACUUGCUGACAGGUUGAAUCCUGUGCAGUUUUUAGGUAGUUGUAGUCUCUGUAUUCCCGGGUAUCCAUGGCGUGUAAUUUGGCCAUUAUGUCACCAUAGGCCUUUGACACCUAUAAAAUUGUGAUUAAUUAAAUCAUAACGGUUUAAAAUAUGAUGAUGGCAACAAAAAGAGCAGAAAAAAAUUGUACUGGCUUCCUUUCUAUCUUGGGUGGAUAGGUGAAUGGGUCCUCAGUAAAGCUAACGAUAGGGUCUUCAUAAUCUGAUUCGUCAUCAGUGUUAUCCUCCAAGUGACCAUUAUAGAUGGCCUGUACCCCAUUGUUUCCCUGGGGUGAAUGGAUCUGAUUAAAAAAUUAGGACAAAUAUAAUUUUUUUCCAUGUCAUGUUGUAUUGAUAAACUGAUCAUAAACUGUAUUGUUGCAGGCAAGAUUGAACUUACUGGAUAGGAUGGCACAGGUGUAAUUGGAUCAAGUCGCGCAGGUGGGGCAUGCUCCUUGUGUCGUGCGUCAGGUAUAUGGUUCUGCUCCAUGUUGAGGAAAUGGAGGCGUGAGGAGAUGGAGGCGUGAGACAAAUUCCCAGAUGGGGGGUAUUUAUUUAUCUAGGAAUUUGUACUGUAUGGAUAUCCGGAUAUCUUCUACCAAUUUGAAUCUGUUAUCUUUACGUGUUAAUUCUGUCUUGGAGAUGAUGGAUAGAGUUAGUUUUCAAAUUGAAUAUUUUAUUGCACGUAUGAAUUCUCUAUCUGUUAAGGUGUAUAAAACGAUGGGUAAUUGUUGGGCACACCGUUGCGUACUAGUACUAUGCAGGUUGGUGGUGAGAUUAGGAUUAGGAGCAGCUUCCGGAAGGAUGGUCCAAAUCGGUAGGCUUUUUGCAUUUCGCAGGUACUAGUGCCGGCACUGACACCAAAUUCGUUAAAUUCGUUAUAUAUAAAAAUAUGAAAUAAUUCAAUAGUAUGAAACGAACUCACCAUUUAACUUGAAUACAUAUGCUUUGCAAAAACAAUUGCACUUUUGCACAAUGUAUCAUAUAUGUAUAUGCAUCCUUACAAACAAGUACAAAUUGCGCUUACAUGAGGAGGCCGGGCUUUACAUUACUCCUCUCUUUCUAUUCUGAAAGUACAAGCAGCAAUCAUACAGGGAAAGGUAGGAAGGAGGCAGGAAAACAAGGCAAAGGUGGUGAAGCAGACGCAGGAGGACAACAACAUCUCCACUAAAAUAAUUUACAACAGACCGGCUCAUGCAUGUAUCUGUGUCAGCAUCCAGUAAUCCCCUGAACCAAACAAAAGCUCAAUCAUUGCUCCUGUGAUUUGCACCUCCCACCAAACAUGCUCCUUUUUCCGAUCUUCUCAUAUCUUUCUUUCUCAGCAUGUGCACAACACAGCAGAGGCAGGGAGAUUGUGGCGUGCAAUCUCUACUUUCUUUGUUGCCAGCGACCAUAUGCUCAAUGUUGAUCAGAAGAUGCAACUCCAGCAAACAUCACUUGCCAAAAGUCUUGCAUUGCUUCAAUAUAAAUAUACUGCCAGCUCUGAAAUUCACGACAUAGUGGAGGGCUGGAGGCCUAGAUGAAGCUUCGGCAUUCCCAUCACCAUUUACCUUGACAGAGCAGUCAACUGUGGGCAGUGACAAUGGAGCUCGAGAUACCAAUUUGGUCAGCGAGUGCAUCACUUGGAAUGCACACUACAUUCUGGAUUCUGGAGUGCGCAUAAUUUCAAGUACAUAAUUUAUGGGAUACAUUGGAGCUGACUGUAUCAGUCGCCUGCAAGCUUUGGAUUCUUUGGAGACAUAACCCGAGCCUUAGUUGUAACAGCCCAUCAGCGUUUUUCUUACCCUAUCGACAACACGGUUCCAAUUAGUUGGACUGUUUGCCAGAGGGAAUUCUUUGCUGUCAUCCAGGAGGAAUCUGUAGACCUCCCAUUGACGCUCUGAUGCUGACUGUCUCCCAAUUUCAGCCUGAAAUGAACAAGAAUAAAUACUAACUCACAAUGAACUGACUUGCUACCUUCUAAAAUUAGUUAGUUCUAGAAUUCUUACAGAGAAAAUGCAGAUUCCAAGUGCUUUCAGAGCAAGAAGAGCAUCAUAGAAUACGCGCGGUCGUCCCUUCCCGGAUGGAGCAUCUCAGACCUCAGGCGUGACCUCAGAACCUCCUGUUUCUCAGGAUCAAUAACCUUCUUGCCAUCUACUUGUUUGACAAAAAGAUCAACCUCUCGACAACCUUUAUUACCUCACCCUUUCUUGUCUGAUCUGAAUCGCCCAUAAAAUAUCUGAGACAGUACCAAAUCAUGAUAUAAGAUAAUACACAAGUCAAUUGAACUCUAUAAAAGUAUGAUCAUGAACAGAGCUCCAGUUACCUGAAUGUUGCAGUCCUUCAUUGUUCUCAAGAUGUCAUCCUAACUACUGUGCACAUCUUUCUGUUGCAGGUAGAACAUGAAACAUCCUAACUCUGGAAACAAAAACCAAACACCUGCAUGCCCGAUGGCAUAAAUAAAAAAUUUAACUAUCUAACCUACAUAUUUUCAAACAGUUUCCCAGAAUUCAUGACUUGCCUUCCACCUCUUGUUGGAUCGCGGAGCACCUUUCGAAACAAUCUUCACUGGAUCAAGUACUUUGGUGCCACCAGGCUGGUUGGCUGCUGAGAAUGAGCCGGCAAAGGCCCAAAUGUCGUUUCCUCUUCCAUCCCUUGCUCAUGCGUGUCUUCUUUCAAAAUAUCAUCAAGUAACUUCAUUACCCUCUCCGUCUCACCUUGGCUCCUAGAAACUUUGAAUAAAGCACGAUUGCCCUUUGAGCGAAGGGAAUGGUAACGAUCCAUUUGUUCAGUCCAAACAUGCGUGUUGGUACGCAUCUCCGUUGGGAAAGCACUCUUCGCAUUCAUAGUCCACCUCACGUAAACACAACAAGGAGGGAUGCUCUCUAUACGAGAAUACUUCAUGACACAGAAAGUAUGUGCACAUGGAAUUCCUUCCCGCUCCAGCUUCUGGCAAUGGCAUCUAGCAUCAACCAACGAUGACCCAAAGGUACAAGUCACGUGAAACCAACGCUUGUUGUUGCCUUGCAAUGAAACCUCAUACCUCAAACACCCAUUCUGCAAUGUCACCUCUGUCACCGACCAAUUACUUGAUUUUUUUAUCUGGAAGCUCACUUUCUGGAAAAUAGUUGGUGUGAAGAUCUACGCAACACUUUUCUCAAGAACAUCAGCAGAAACCUUAGUGAAUGGGAUAGAACAUAGAGCCUUCGCAUCAAGCUCAAUCUCAUUCCGACGAAUGCGUGAUAGGCAAAACUCGUAAUGCUCCAUUAAAUCAACCAAGGACAUCUUUCGGUCUAAAUGGUUGUGAAGCCUUGAGUUCAGACUCUCGCUCCUCUGAUUGCUUUGCAUGCCCAAGAAAUGUCUCCCUCUUGUGAAUGUGGCAGCCCACUUCCUUCUAAGUUCGUACAUCCUAUUUACCCAUAGGUUAUCUUCUUUGAUAUUAUGGGUACCUCUAAACUCUCUCCAAAGCCUAUCAGAUUCACCCUCCUCCAUUGCAUGGUAUAUGAACUUCCUGAAAUCCUUGAGCUUCGAACCACGAAACCGUUUCAGCAUGUUCUGCUCUAUGUGCCAACUGCACAAUCUAUGAUCUGCAUCAGGCAUGACAAUCUCAAUAGCUCUCAUCAUCGCUGCGUCCCCAUCAGUGAUUAAGGAUUUUGGAUGCUUCUGGUGCAUCACCUCCAGUAAAGCCUCAAGGAGCCACACAUAUGACAAGAUAGUUUCAUCCGAUAAAAUACCACAGCCAAAGACAACUGUGCUUCUAUGAUGGUUAACUCCUAUAAAAGGGACAAAUGGAAGAUUGUACCGGUUCACUCGGUAAGUGCUGUCGAAUACAACGACGUCUCCGAAAACACCAUAGUCUAUCUGCGACUGUGCAUCCGACCAAAAUAGGUUCUUCAACCUGCCUUGUGCAUCCACACUAAAUGUGAAAAAGAACUCCGGAUCUUUCUCUUGCAUCUGACGCAUAUGAUUCAACACAAAUUCUACAUCGCUUCCUUCAACCUUUCCCUUCUUGUACCUUGAAAAGAAAUUGUACAAGUCCUGCGAAAGAAAUCCAGUCUCCCCUGGACCACCGUGGCUGGCCUCCAUUACGUCCAUGAUCUGAAAUGGACGCAGCCCACCUAGUCCCAGCUCUACUGCCUCCACUUUCUGAGGAUCAUUAAGCCCUCAAUGAGACCGCAAAAUAAAAACAUGCUCUGGUUUUGCAAGGGCAUGUGUAUGGACAUCCACAAAGUCCUUCACAUACCAGAUGCCAAUACUUUCACUCCACUCCACAUCAAGCCUAGCCGUGCAUCCACAACGGGUGAGGGCACGCAGCUGUCUUUUUUUAUCCAUCCUUUCAAAGUACUUAACAGAUCUAUAUCCUUCACAGGAGCACAUGAGUCUUCUCCAUAUCACCUCUUUGGUGCCUGUCUUGUACCUAACUCUGCCCUUUCUGAUAUUGAACCCUUUAUGGUAUGCAUAAUCAUUGUAAAACUCAUAGAAAUCUUCCUCCCUCGUAAAAGUCUGAUCUACAAUACACUUAUAUUCUUUAGUUUCCUCCAGGCUAACGUACCCUUCUGCCUCCAUUACGGUAACCUACAACAAAAAAAUUACAAGUAUUACAACCAUUUCAAAGAAAACCUUCGUAUCAACAUAGGACGGAACUGAAGUUCUUCAUCCCAACCUAACUAACAAAGCUUACCACAUCUGCAAUUGCAGGUUAAUAUUAAAAUAAUCAGCAGCAAUUAGCUAAGCAAUACACCGUCUGACCUAACCAAUGCUGGAAAUGAUGGCCUUUGUGGUGGUAACCCUCAACUGAAAUUGCCACCCUGCUCUAACCACUCCAGGAAUAAGCCAUUGUAAAAACUUGCCAUAAUAGUUGCCAUAUGCAGUGGUUGUGUUUUUGUUGCAUUUUAGAAUUUGCACUGUCUUCAUUAUACAGAAAGAAUAAAAAAAUAAAAGAAAACCAACAGAGCUCAGUCAUUGGUGAACAACACAUGAGGGUAUCUUAUGCUGAAUUAGCCCACGCAACUAAUGAUUUUUCAUCUGAUAACCUCAUUGGGGCUGGGAGCUUUAGUCCAGUUGUGGUUCCAUUUGCUACAGCUCUCUAAUCUCUUCUAAUAAAAGUUUGCAGUGCUAGGUUUUAUGUAAGUUAAAGCUUUGUUGCUAUUUCUCUCGCUUAAAUAAGUACAAGUUCAAUGAAACUCUGUUUUCUAGAGUAGGCCAGGAAAUAGCUGAAACUUGUAAAUUCCUAAUAAGGGAAAAAUAAAUAAGCUAUUUCACACUUAUUUGUAAAUAAAUAUAACAAAGAAUUUCAUAGUUGCAUAAAUGAAUACUGCAAGAAACAUUUAUUACAUACCCAAAUUCUUGGAAAGGUUGCUUUCUUACAAAAUAAGACCUCCUGGAAUUGUUACCGGAGAUGUGGGACAUGGGGGAGUGGCGGCGUGUGGGAGAAGGGCGUGGCAGCGUGCGGGCGAUGCCGGCGAGGCGGCGGUGGCGGUGGCUGAGCGGUGGCGGCACGACAGGCAGGGCGGCGCGAAGGCGUGGCGGCGCGACCGACGGGGUGACGUGCGGGAGGUGGCGGCACGGCGUGCGGGAUGGGGCAGGGCGGCGUUUGGGCGGGGUCGGGGCGGCGUGCCGGCAGUAGGAAACUGGCAGCGCGUGGGGAAAGGGUGCGGCCGGUGGCGGCGCGGCGUGCGGGCAGGGGCGGAGCGGCGUGCCCGCGACGGGAGACCGGCUGCGUGGCGUGCUGGCGGGGGUGGAGUGGCGUGCCCAUGACGGGAGACCGGCGGCGCGGCGUGCGGGCGGGGGCGGAGCGGCGUGCCCGCGACGGGAGAACGCGGCGCGUGGGGAAUGGAUCGCGGGGGACUGGCGUGCGGGGAAAAUGACCGGUAGAAAAAAUAUUCUCCGAAUAAUAUAUAUCGCGCUAAUUACAAUUUUACCCAUGCCAAAAAAGGACUUAUACUCUAUACUACCAACUGGUAGUAUUGUCCACCGUAAAAAAGCUACGCUGGCUAGCCCGGUGGCCGUGGGGAACAGGGGGAAAGGGUUGUGGACCCUCAUUAUCCUCGUUCUUUGGGAGAUCUGGCUAGAGAGAAAUCGAAGGGUCUUCCAACACAAAGACAGCACGGUUACCCAGAUAACCGACGGCAUCAAGAACCAAGCUGCGACGUGGGUCGCUGCGGGAGCUAAACACUUGGGGGACUUUCUCUUAGGUUGAGUGUUCCGUUUUGUACUAGUUGUCAUAGCGGAGUUCUGCCUCUCCGUUUCGGGGAUGCGAGUGUACAGCUUGUAUAGUACGUCUGUAUACGGCCCGUUGGGCUUUUCCUCUCUUUUAAUAUAGCAGCAGCUCUCCUGCUGGCUCAUUCAAAAAAAACUUUUAUUUAGUUAACAGACGAAUGUGAGAGAAGUGAGAGCGUUAAAAAAAAAAAAGCAAAACAGCAAAACGAAAAUUUGGGCCUAUCCUCCAUUGCAAGCAUUAACGAAUUGGUAAAGUUAAUAGGAGGGCCAACAUAUCCACCGUGUUAACAUGACACGAGUACUCUCUAGAGCAUGGUAUUGUUUAUCAACUACAUUAUAUUCUAGAAGUAUUUCGGGGUAACAUGGAGAUUGUGGUGCUUGUACGUCCUCGCUCUCCAACUACUCCUACUUCGCUGAACAACCCAUGCUCUUGUAUCUGCCAGCACGCAGCACAAUUUAAUAGCACAUCUUUUAGAACGCACAGACAAAGGCACGUCCAAUGGAGCCGGCAGCUGGUGGAGGGCAGCAGGCAAGGCGACGACCUGCCCUCCUCGCCCUCCUCUCCACGUCGCUGCUCCUCAACGCCGUCUUCCUCGCGCACCACUUGUUCCGGCCGUCCCGGGUUCUCAGCGCGGUCGGCGACGGCGGUGGCAGCAGCUGCGGGCUGAGCUGGACGCUGCAGGCGGCUAGGGAGGCCGAGGCGGUGGCCGCCGUUGACUGCUCGGGUCACGGCCAGGUGUUCUUGGAUGGCGUCGCCGGCGAGGAUGGGCGGCCCGGGUGCGAGUGCAACGCCUGCUUCGCCGGGCGGGACUGCUCCCUCCACACGCCCAACUGCACCGCCGACGCCGACAGGUACGCGAUCCCGGCGUGAAUUAAUCGAUCGCCCUCUACUCUGUACCUUAUGUCUUGGUGUGCAAAUGUUGGGAAGUGAUCAUGUCUAAUCCUAGCUCCGACACGGCGAUGAGACGAUUAAUCCUAAAACCUCGUCUAUUAAUCCUGUUCUCUGUGUCUAAUUCUGGUCCUGGUCCUGGUCCUUUUGUGUCGCGUUCGUACUCGGCCGCAUCGCAGACCAUGACGCUUUGCGUGCCAGCUUCCUGGCCCUGCAUCUGACUGCUGUCGCCGGUCCUGUUCUCAUCCUGUGCACGAUUCGAUCAGCGGGAACCCGUUGUUCCUGGAGCCAUACUGGCGGCGGCACGCGGCCGCCAGCGCCGUUGUGAUCUCCGGGUGGCACCGCAUGAGCUACAUCGCCACUGGCAUUGAAAAAAUGUUCCAAUCCGUGGAGCUCGAGCGCCAGAUCCGGCGCCUGCACAGGGCCGUCGGCAACGCCGUCGUCGACGACAAGCACGUGGUCUUCGCCGCCGGCUCCAUACAGCUCAUCAACGCGCUCGUGCACGCGCUCUCCCCGGACGCCAACGCCGCCUCGCCGCCGGCCCGUGUGGUCGCCACCGCGCCGUAUUACCCGGUAAGCCGGCCUCUCUCCACAUAUAUUCAGAGAUGGGGUCAAUCGAACAAGUCAUCGUUGAAUCUCUACAACCAUUGAUCGAUUGUGCAGAUUUACAGGACACAGACGAAGAUGUUCGACGGCCGCGAGUACAGAUGGGGCGGGACCACGGCUCUGUGGGUCAACGCGUCGCGGAACUCCACCGAUGGCUUCAUCGAGUUCGUCACGUCGCCCAACAACCCGGACGCCCAGCUCUACGAGCCCGUCCUCGGCGGCUCGGCCCCGGUGAUCGUCGACCACGCCUACUACUGGCCGCACUUCACGCACAUCCCGGCGCCGGCCGACGAGGAUGUCAUGAUGUUCACCAUGUCCAAGCCCUCCGGGCACGCCGGCAGCAGAUUCGGGUUCGUCGCGUAGCAAGCAUGGUUCACGAAUUAUAUAAUUGUAUAGAGACGACAGAGAGAGGCAAUGACACAUCUCCUGUGCGUGCAUUACGCAGGUGGGCACUGAUCAGGGACGAGAACGUGGCCAAGAGGGCCAACGAUUACGUGCAGAACAGCAUCAUGGGCGCGUCCCGGGAUACCCAGCUGCGGAUGCUGGGGAUCGUGAAGAUCAUGCUGGCCAAUCUGCACGGCAAGGAGGACAUCUUCGCCUUCGGGCACGACGUGAUGAGAACCAGAUGGCGCAGGCUGAACGCCGUCGUGUCGCGCUCCCGCCGCAUCUCGCUGCAGAGGAUGGCUCCCGAGUACUGCACCUACUUCAAGCGGAUCAGAGAGCCAUCGCCAGGUCAGCAGCAACUCAAUUUUUUUUAUAUCUACAUCGCAUCUCAAAGCAUUUUCUAUUGAACUUCUUGGCUCUUGCAACUGUACUCGGUGGACAGGCUAUGCAUGGGUGAAGUGUGAGAUGGAGGAAGACGACGACUGCUACGAGGCGCUGCUGAAGGCAAAGAUCAUCACACGUUCAGGCGCUCGCUUCGAAGCUAGCAGCCGGUACACGAGGUUGAGCCUCCUCAAGACGGAUGACGACUUCGAAGUCCUCAUGGAGAGGGUUACGGAUCUUGUCAAUGCCGAGAAUUACGACGAGCCUGCCUCGAGCUCCACGACUUUGGUAAUGUAAAGGGAACUUCCAUGGACCAUGGGCACCCAAAAGUGCCGGAACGUUCAACCCAGAAAAUAACUGUCUCUCUGCUUAACCUGGAGAGUAACUGGGAACAUAUUGCAGAUGUUUUUCUUACGUUUGGAAACUCGACGAUUCAGGUAGUGUGAAAAACGCGUCCCAAAGGUGGAUUGAGUACUUCACUCGAAAGAUCUGCAUUGCCU